UUUUUGAUACCUGAAAAUGACCUGAAUAUUCUACAGGAUCUGCAGGAGGGAAGAAGGAAUUGAGAAAGAAUUUAACACAAAGUGGAGGAAAAAUGUUCCCUCUGUUUUCACUCUGCCACGUCCAGUCAUUCAGAAUCGAAACAAGACAGUUACGUACAGGUGUGCUCACCUGUCCAUCCAUGCGGGGCUCAAUGCUCUGUGGGCACCACCUUGAAAUUCUUAACAAUUUUUAACAGAGGGGCCCGACUCUUCAUUUUGCAUUUAGCCCCGCAAAUCAUAUAGGCAGUCUUGUUUAUAUAUACAGGAGGGACUUAGCCGUGUUCUACGUAACUCCAAGGGGUACAGCAGGUCUGAUCAGUGGAAGGUAGAAAGAAACAGCUUUUAGCCCAAUAUUAAGAAAUGUUUUCAAAACUCAUGGCUGCCCAAAUUGGAAUUGGCUAUGUAAAUAGGUAGAGCUUCGGAACGCCAGAAUCCUUACAGCAGAGGAGGGUCAGCUACUUGGCAGGACUAUUAGAGACACAAUUCAAGCUUUGGACUCUGUGGCCUCCCAAGUCCCUUCCAACCUUGGGAUUAUCUAAUUCUUUGAUUAUUGAACCUCCUCGGAGAUGUCUACUUUACCAACUUCACCAGGAAAUGAACUCACUAGUGCUGAGACAGAUCAGUGCAAGUGUGGUCAAGGGACUCGGGUUUGACGUUCACUGCUAAGCCUGGUUUUCCUGAGUUUCAGGUUGACCACUGAGAAAAUUACUGGUUCUAGGAGUUACUGAUUAACUUCCAAAGAGACAUGUAAGUAAGUUAUGUGUUUCUAUGAGGAGUUUCUUUGAUCCUUAAAGUACGGCAAGUAGAAUUAUUUUUGCACAAUGCUCUAUAGAGAAAAUUAGUUAUUGGCUUAUUCAUUUUUUCACCCAUUUGCUCACUCCUGCCAGGUUCUGUAACAACUAGGUUACAGAAGAGAACGGAGCGGACAGGGUUUGUGCUCUUAAGCCCCUGGGAAUACCUGUUCAUUCUAUUCCAUUUGGCAGAAAAGUUUGAAAAUCACUGUCACCUGACAUGUGAAUUCCUUCUAAAACAAGCCUGCUGGCUUCCAGUUAUUCCUUAAAGGAAAUGAAUGGCUGUGGGAGAGAAAUUCAGAGGCAAUACCCCAUCCUUGUCUGGAAUAAUUAAAGUGGAAGAAAAUUCCUGUUGGUGAAAAGCCUGAUGAUUCUAUAAUUUUUGGAGAACUGUAUUAUCUUUCUUUCAAUAUUAAAGAAACUAACUGGAUUAAUUGUUAAAAGAAUAUGGGUAGCAGAUGUCCUGUGAUAUCUGCAAUGAAUAUGUACUUUGUUAAGAUAUUUUUAUAAUUUUUAAAAUAAUAUAUGUACUAUAUAGAAAGUAUUGAAAAUGCAAAAAGUAUAAAUAAAGUAUAUGUCCCAGUACUCAGAGACAACUGCUUUUAACACAUAUUCACAUCCUUUAUCUGAUUCUCGGAACCAACUGUGUUUUGGAAUUCAGAAUUUCUCAGAUUUUAGUAAGGAAAUUCAAUGUGUGUACCAAAGAUUUGAUUUGAUUUGAUAUUGAGACAUGAUUGACAUAUAACAGUACAUUAGUUUCAGGUGUACAACAUAAUGAUUUGAUAUAUGUAUAUAUUGCA